GAUGAACGCUGGCGGCGUGCCUAAUACAUGCAAGUUGAGCGAACGGACGAGAAGCUUGCUUCUCUGAUGUUAGCGGCGGACGGGUGAGUAACACGUGGAUAACCUACCUAUAAGACUGGGAUAACUUCGGGAAACCGGAGCUAAUACCGGAUAAUAUUUUGAACCGCAUGGUUCAAAAGUGAAAGACGGUCUUGCUGUCACUUAUAGAUGGAUCCGCGCUGCAUUAGCUAGUUGGUAAGGUAACGGCUUACCGAGGCAACGAUGCAUAGCCGACCUGAGAGGGUGAUCGGCCACACUGGAACUGAGACACGGUCCAGACUCCUACGGGAGGCAGCAGUAGGGAAUCUUCCGCAAUGGGCGAAAGCCUGACGGAGCAACGCCGCGUGAGUGAUGAAGGUCUUCGGAUCGUAAAACUCUGUUAUUAGGGAAGAACAUAUGUGUAAGUAACUGUGCACAUCUUGACGGUACCUAAUCAGAAAGCCACGGCUAACUACGUG
rnacentral:rRNA from 1 species